CAUGGAAAAAUCGCAAGAAACUCAUAUUCGAGUCAUACUUAUUCGUGUUCUUAAAUAGCAAAUUCAGAGAGAGAGAGAGAGAGAGAGAGAGAGAGAGAGAGAGAAUUAUGGGUCGAAAAUGUUUCAAUAGCAAUGUUAAGUAUGUGGUUAGGAGUGGACCACGAGUGAGCUAAUCUGUUUUACAUAACCGUGUAAUCGGCAGAAAUUUGUAGUAUUCCAUGUUUGUGAAACAAAAAAAACAAAAAAAUAGAUGACAUCCAUAUGAAUAUAAAAUAUACGUAUGUAAGCGUCGAGCAUUCAUCUUGUAGAAAUUAUACUAUUCGAACCCAAGGAUGCAAUGCGUUUCUGGUUCGAAUCCUGCCGGGGGGUUCACGCUACGUCACGCCAAGAGUCAGUCCACCCAGCGCUGCGUGGCUGGUCGGUCAGGGAGUCACGAUUACGUACCCCUCCACACCAGGUGUCGAGCGCUUCUCCAUCUUCCUGGAGGAAGAGGUGAGGUUUCAUAAAUGGCCAUGAUUCCUGCAUAGAGAACAGCUUCUGAUUCACAAUGUUGUCCAGGAUGUAAUCAAAUGCCACCUGUGCCAAACCAGAGAAGAAAAUGAACAUAAGAA